rfam:Aedes albopictus isolate Foshan contig26600, whole genome shotgun sequence.
AGCCUAGUGGUUAAGGCUAUGGAUCGCCAAUCCAGAGACGGCGGGUUCGAUUCCCGU